AUGGAGGAUGGCGCUGACGCUGCGAGAGGACAGCCGGACAGUGGAUGUCAGGAAUGGUGCCAUCGGUACAGGCAGCACAGGGUGGCCUUGCCUGGGGUCAGCCACCAGCUGCGUGCUCAGGGCCACUGCCACCGCAGUGUUUGUGUGCUUGGGCAACGCCGAGAAAUCGGCUGGACUUGGCCUGGGGGCUCAGCUCUGUUCCUGUGGGCUCGGGGGGAGCUGCAGGCAGGGGAGAUCCCACCUGGGGCAGGGGAGAUCCCACCUGGGGUAGGGGAGAUCCCACCUGGGGGCUCAGCUCUGUUCCUGUGGGCUCAGAGGGAGCUGCAGGAAGGGAGAUCCCACCUGGGGCAGGGGAGAUCCCACCUGGGGGCUCAGCUCUCCGUUCCUGUGGGCUCAGAGGGAGCUGCAGGCAGGGGAGAUCCCACCUGGGGGCUCAGCUCUCCAUUGCUGUGGGCUCAGAGGGAGCUGCAGGCAGGGGAGAUCCCACCCAGGCUGGGGUGGUGGGAUAGGGGUGCAGGUCCCUGGGAGAAGGGGACGUGUUGUAUUAGGGCAGCAGGGACUGUUUGUAAACGUCAGAGUCGGACAGCAUCAAGAAGGGCCCUGGAAAGGCUCUUUUGGGGUGCUCAGCCCCUCGAGAUGGAGGAGCAGGGAAUGUUUCGCAGGAUCCACCCCGUGCCAGCGCCGUGCUGGCAGGAGAGCAGGGACAUUGCCGGGGCAAAAGGAAAGGUCCCUUGGCCUUUGGGUACCGCUUGCCCCUUGCCAUGUGCCCAGUGCUCUCAGUACCUGGCCCACUCCUGUUCCCGGGAAUCAGUCACCCCUGUCCCCUGCACCGAGCCGGGGCUCCCGCAAGGAGCCCUCCCUCCCGAUGUGCUCUGCCCCGGGAGGUUCCAGGGCUCCUCGUGCCCAAUCCCCGCCACCAACUCCCCCUGUCGCUCCCGGGACACUCGGGACUUCCAUCGCACGUUGCCGCCAUGCCCGGAGCAGGGGCCGGCUGCGCUGUGCCCC
rnacentral:lncRNA from 1 species